rnacentral:rRNA from 1 species
UACGUAGGGGCCUAGCGUUGUCCGGAUUUAUUGGGCGUAAAAGAGCUCGUAGGCGGUUCGGCAAGUCGGAUGUGAAAUCUCCACGCUCAACGUGGAGGGGGCCAUUCGAAACUGCCGUGACUCGAGUCCGGUAGGGGAGUGUGGAAUUCCGGUGUAGCGGUGAAAAUGCGCAGAUAUCGGGAGGAACACCAGUAGCGAAGGCGGCACU